rnacentral:rRNA from 1 species
GAUGAACGCUGGCGGCGUGCCUAAUACAUGCAAGUCGAACGCUGGAAUUCUAGCUUGCUAGAUUGCAGGAGUGGCGAACGGGUGAGUAAUACAUAAGCAACCUACCCACGAUGACUGGGAUAAUCCCUGGACACGGGGACUAAUACCGGAUAGGUAAUCGGAAGGCAUCUUCUGUUUAUUAAAGGGUAAAAACACUGGUGGAUCGGCUUAUGGGGCAUUUGUUAGUUGGUGGGGUAACUGCCCACCAAGACGAUGAUGCGUAGCCGGCCUGAGAGGGUGGACGGCCAGAUUGGGACUGAGCCACGGCCCAGACUCCUACGGGAGGCAGCAGUAGGGGAGUAUCGGCAAUGGGGGAAACCCUGACCGAGCGACGCCGCGUGAGUGAUGACGGCCUUCGGGUUGUAGAGCCCUGUUGUAAGGGAAGAACGGUAGAUAGAGAAUAUCUAAAUGACGGUACCUUACCAGAGAGCCACGGCUAACUACGUG